AGAAGGGGGAAAGGGAGAAAGAGGUUGAGGAAGUUUUGGGAUUGGGUGGGUUUGGUAAGAAAACUUGAUCAUAUAUCUGAAUGAACUCGUUUCCUACCGAUUCCACCCAUUCCGAUGAUUUCCUCGGUCUCCUCCUUUUCCCCUUUGCU
rnacentral:miRNA from 1 species